rnacentral:rRNA from 1 species
AACGAACGCUGGCGGCAUGCCUAACACAUGCAAGUCGAGCGCCUGUAGCAAUACAGGAGCGGCGCACGGGUGAGUAACGCGUGGGAACCUGCCCUUAGGUUCGGAACAACCGCGGGAAACUGCGGCUGAUACCCGAUGAUGUCUUCGGACCAAAGAUUUAUCGCCUUUGGGGGGGCCCGCGUCGGAUUAGGUAGCUGGUGAGGUAACGGCUCACCAAGCCUGCGAUCCGUAGCUGGUCUGAGAGGAUGACCAGCCACACUGGGACUGAGACACGGCCCAGACUCCUACGGGAGGCAGCAGUGGGGAGUAUUGGACAAUGGGGGCAACCCUGAUCCAGCAAUGCCGCGUGGGUGAUGAAGGCCUUCGGGUUGUAAAGCCCUUUCGGCGGGGACGAUGAUGACGGUACCCGCAGAAGAAGCCCCGGCUAACUUCGUGCCAGCCGCCGCAGUAA